ACUCCUACGGGAGGCAGCAGUAGGGAAUAUUGGACAAUGGGGGAAACCCGUGAUCCAGCAAUGCCGCGUGAGCGAUGAAGGCCUUAGGGUUGUAAAGCUCUUUUACCGGGAUGAUAAUGACAGUACCGGGAGAAUAAGCCCGGCUAACUCCGUGCCAGCAGCCGCGGUAAUACGGAGGGGGCUAGCGUUGUUCGGAAUUACUGGGGCGUAAAGCGCACGUAGGCGGCUAUUCAAGUCAGAGGUGAAAGCCCGGGGGCUCAACCCCGGAAUUGCCUUUGAAACUAGAUAGCUAGAAUCUUGGAGAGGCGGGUGGAAUUCCGAGUGUAGAGGUGAAAUUCGUAGAUAUUCGGAAGAACACCAGUGGCGAAGGCGGCCCGCUGGACAAGUAUUGACGCUGAGGUGCGAAAGCGUGGGGGAGCAAACAGGAUUAGAUACCCUGGUAGGAUAGCG
rnacentral:rRNA from 1 species